GGCGAACGCUGGCGGCGUGCUUAACACAUGCAAGUCGAACGGAAAGGCCCUGCUUGCAGGGUACUCGAGUGGCGAACGGGUGAGUAACACGUGGGUGAUCUGCCCUGCACUUCGGGAUAAGCCUGGGAAACUGGGUCUAAUACCGGAUAGGACCGCACUUUAGUGUGUGUGGUGGAAAGUUUUUUCGGUGUAGGAUGAGCUCGCGGCCUAUCAGCUUGUUGGUGGGGUAAUGGCCUACCAAGGCGGCGACGGGUAGCCGGCCUGAGAGGGUGUACGGCCACAUUGGGACUGAGAUACGGCCCAGACUCCUACGGGAGGCAGCAGUGGGGAAUAUUGCACAAUGGGCGCAAGCCUGAUGCAGCGACGCCGCGUGGGGGAUGAAGGCCUUCGGGUUGUAAACUCCUUUCGCUAGGGACGAAGCUUUGUUGUGACGGUACCUAGAUAAGAAGCACCGGCUAACUACGUG
rnacentral:rRNA from 1 species